rnacentral:rRNA from 1 species
CCCUUAGAUGUCCUGGGCUGCACGCGCGCUACACUGAUGUGUUCAAUAAGCACCUAACCUACUCCGAAGGGACUGGGUAACCUUUGCAAAGCACAUCGUGAUGGGGAUAGAUUAUUGCAAUUAUUAGUCUUGAACGAGGAAUUCCUAGUAAGCGCAAGUCAUCAGCUUGUGUUGAUUACGUCCCUGCCCUUUGUACACAUCGCCCGUCGCUCCUACCGAUUGAGUGAUCCGGUGAAUACUUCGGAGUGUGAACUCUACAGUUUCUGUUUUGUUCGCGCAAAGUUGAAUAAACCUUAUCACUUAGAGGAAGGAGAAGUCGUAACA